rnacentral:rRNA from 1 species
GGAUGGACCUAUGGCGCAUUAGCUAGUUGGCGGGGCAACGGCCCACCAAGGCAACGAUGCGUAGCCGGCCUGAGAGGGCGGACGGCCACAUUGGGACUGAGACACGGCCCAGACUCCUACGGGAGGCAGCAGUAGGGAAUUUUCGGCAAUGGGGGAAACCCUGACCGAGCAACGCCGCGUGAGCGAAGAAGGCCUUCGGGUCGUAAAGCUCUGUUGUAAAGGAAGAACGUCGCAUGCAGGAAAUGGUGUGCGAGUGACGGUACUUUACCAGAAAGCCACGGCUAACUACGUGCCAGCAGCCGCGGUAAUACGGAAGGUCCGGGCGUUAUCCGGAUUUAUUGGGUUUAAAGGGAGCGUAGGCCGGAGAUUAAGCGUGUUGUGAAAUGUAGAUGCUCAACAUCUGCACUGCAGCGCGAACUGGUUUCCUUGAGUACGCAUAAAGUGGGCGGAAUUCGUGGUGUAGCGGUGAAAUGCUUAGAUACCACGAAGAACUCCGAUUGCGAAGGCAGCUCACUGGGGCGCAACUGACGCUGAAGCUCGAAAGCGCGGGUAUCGAACAGGAUUAGAUACCCUGGUAGUCCGCGCGGUAAACGAUGGAUGCCCGCUGUUGGGCCCACUGGUUCAGCGGCCAAGCAAAAACAUUUAGCAUCCCCCCUGGGGGAGUACCCCCGGCAACGGUGAAACUCAAAAGGAAUUGACGGGGGCCCGCACAAGCGGAGGAACAUGUGGUUUAAUUAGAUGAUACGCGAGGAACCUUACCCGGGCUUGAAUUGCAGAGGAAGGAUUCGGAGACAAUGACGCCCUUCGGGGCCUCUGUGAAGGUGCUGCAUGGUUGUCGUCAGCUCGUGCCGUGAGGUGUCGGCUUAAGUGCCAUAACGAGCGCAACCCCUCUCCUUAGUUGCCAUCAGGUUAAGCUGGGCACUCGGGGGACACUGCCACCGUAAGGUGUGAGGAAGGUGGGGAUGACGUCAAAUCAGCACGGCCCUUACGUCCGGGGCUACACACGUGUUACAAUGGCAGGUACAGAGAGACGGUCCUUUGCAAAACGGAUCAAAUCCUUAAAGCCUGUCUCAGUUCGGACUGGGGUCUGCAACCCGACCCCACGAAGCUGGAUUCGCUAGUAAUCGCGCAUCAGCCAUGGCGCGGUGAAUACGUUCCCGGGCCUUGUACACACCGCCCGUCAAG